rnacentral:lncRNA from 1 species
GAAUCCCAUGUCGAUUGUAACUGCCGUAACAUGUCCCAAGGUGAGGUGCAGAAUCGCAUUGGCAAUCGCGCUGCUUCCUAUAUCGACGUCGAUUUCGAGGUAAUUGUUUCCUCUGUGGUAUGUGCAAUUUAACGCUUUCCCUAACAAACAUGCGCUGUGGUUCCCCACGGCUUUCUUCACGAUCCACGGUCCCUUCACGAUCCGGUUCACCAGCUUGAACCGCUGGUUCCGGAACGUGUCGUCGCCGUGCACGAACCGGUACAGCAGCGAACUGGUUCGGAGCGAUUCCGGAUCGUCCGUUGCGAAGUAGAACACCGCGCUGUGGUGGUCCUUCCCGCCGGGGAUCUGGAGGUUCACGGCGAAGAUGAAGCUCUUCAGAAAGUGGCCUAGGGUUUGCUGCGACCUCCGGAGUGCCUGCAUUACGCGAUUGUCCGAGCGUGAGAGCACGUGCUCGAGCUUCGUGGAGGAUUUGAGCCAAUCCAUGCCGGCCGGCGAGAGGAGGUAGUUUCCGGCGGGGGCCUUUUGGCGGUUCUUGAGGUAGUUGGAGGAGCGGAGGGAGAAUACGUUCCCCGGUGGCGACGACCAGCCAUUGGUUCCGUUGUUGAGGUCGACAUGGCGGAGGGAGCCGCCGUUGACCGAGUCAGAGAUCCAAUCCGGAAUUCCAGGGGCAGAAGCGGAUCUCCGGUGAAGGUUCGGCGGCGGCAUUGGUGGAGGAUUUUAUUGCACACACUGUAGAAGUUGAACUCAACUGCAUUUAUGGUGGAGAGAAGAGGGGUGUGUUAGCAAGGAUAAAUUGAAGGAGGACCUAGAAAUAAAAUAUAAAAAUAUUUAUUUAAUCUUUAUAAUUAAUCAAGUUUUAUCUCUUAGUUUUUAUAUUUAAAUAUAUUUUCUUUACAUAUUUUUAAAUUUUUAAAGUCCUAUACGGUAAAAGCUAAAAGUAUUAAAAUAAUACAAUUAGAGGCUAAAUAUAAUUAAAACAGUAUGUGUACAAAUUAAAAAUGUAUAUAAAGAAAAAAAAAUGUAUGAUUAUAAGAACUGAAUGAUUUCUUAAAAUGGUAAGUGAUUAAUUAAAUUUUAAUUUUGAUUCUUUUUCUAUAAUUUAGUUUUUGCAUUUUAUAAAGUAUAUAAUUUUAAACUAUUUUUAUAUGAAUCUUAGAUCUAUCAUAUUUAUUUAAACUAAUAUCAAAACAAUAAUUAAUUAAAAUAAAAAACAUAUUAAAAAAAAUUUACUGAAUCAAAAUUGUAUUUUUGUUUUAAAAAGGUUAGAUGUUAAAAUUUUGAAGAAAGAAAUGGAGAUGAAGAAAACAAAGCAAUAAUUUAGUAAAAGAGAAUAAUUAGAAAAAGGCUUUAAUUUGACUUGGCCAGCUAAUAAGUAAUAACAGUGCACGAUGCAUAAAUAAAAAAGCAUAUGCUAUUUAAAGAUGUGUUUGUUUCUGUUUCAAAGUUCAAUAAUUCAAGCCAUCAAAUAAAGGUUCAACUUGUUUUGUAAACUCGAGAAUAAAACUUUUUAACACAAUAAUGAAACUAUUGGGUUUGACAACUAUAUUUUUGAUUUGAAACAUUAUACUAAUUGUCGAAUGAGUUGGAAAAGGAUUGUGUGUAUUAUUUUUGAACUGUGUUCAUGGUAUAAUGUCAGAUAUUCUUAAUCAUUUUCUUCAACAAAUGUGUUUAUCUACCAACCAUAUCAUAGCAUUAUUUUUCAUCAUCAAUGCAUGGGAGAGAUGCCAACAAAAACAACUUCUUAAAAGUUGUAAAUUAGCUGCAUAAUUAAUAAUGUUAAACAUCUAACCUUGAUGAAGCAUGUGCAUAAAACAUUGCUGUUAAUGAAAUUCUUUCACGAGAAGACCUCCUUGAAGCUUAAAGAGAUGAAAAAUUGCUUAAUUUCAUCUCUAAGCAGUGGCUUUGGGUGUUGGUUUUUGAGAUUGGUUUCUUCAAUUUGAAGCCAAAAAUGAAUCAGCGUUGGAAGGUAGUGGUUGUGGUUUCUUUCGGUGGUGUAGCCAUGUAUGUAAACCUUGUUUUUUUAUUGAUUUCAUCAUCAUCAUCCAUUGUUGCUGAUUUGGAGUUGCAGGAAAAAAAUUGCGCUUCCAUGAAUUUUAGGAAACUUUUUGGGGCCGUGGGUUUUAAGGAAUUUGCUAUUUCCUUCGCUUCUCUUCUUUCUUUCUUUAUUUUGUUUGGUUGUUCUGAUGGUAGUUUUUGUGGUGUAUCUAUUGUUUUGGAUGAUUUCUUAAUGUAGCUAUUUUUAUUUUUGGGUAAGAAAAGUGUUUGAUAAAAUGUCCCAAUUAAGAAGAGUAUAAUUUUCUAGUGUUGUAAGGAUUAGAUUUUAACAAAAUAUUAUCACUGUGGAAGAUCUAUUGAAAUAAAAUGUAGUGGAAUAGAUACUAAUCUUAGUAUUCUGUUUUACAAUUGUAAAUCGAUUAUAUAUGACUACUUUCAAUCAUGUGAGAAAGAUCUGGAAAAUUAUUAUGAAAAGUUGGAAAUGGAAAUUGAAGAUUUAAGGAAACAAGUUGAUAAAUCGAAAACAAACAUGAGAUUUGUUGAUAAAUUGUAAACGAAGAAGACGCUCUAGGGUAGUUUGAAAAUUAAUAGAUUUGAAUAUAUGAUGAAAUUGGAAACUUGAUUAAGUUAGUAGAUAGGGGUUUAUUACAAUCACAUAUCCUAAUAAAAAAAAUUACAAAAUAAAGUUCCUAGAAUAUAUUUCACCUUUUGUUUUUUAUAUAACAAUUACAAAAUAAAGUUUCUUAAACAUUCCUAAGUCAUUGUAGUGAUUCCUUUGGCAUUUAUUUUGUUGAGUUAAUAUCAAAGUAUUUCAAAAGAGACACAUUUGAUUACAUACAAAAUUUGUGAAAUUUAUAUCUACUUAAAAAUUUGUGGAUCUUAUAUCUACUUAAAGUAAAAAAAAUAAAAAUAUCAUUCAUUUAUACAUAGUGCAUACUUAGACUUAAAAAAAAUGCAAAUGAGUUUUUCAACAAGAUUCAUGUGAAGAAUCUAAGAUUUCUCUCAGAGGCUUCUAAAAAACAAUCAAUCAUCAUUUAAGAUCUAAGAUCUUAAUCAAUAUCUUUGCGUCGUCUUUAAGAUCCUUCUUUGGAUCUCCUUUUCAACCUUUCUACAGGUUCAAGUCAAUGUUCUCUAUGCAAGUGCCACAUACUAGUAGUAUGGUGGUGUCAGCUGAGUCCACCAAAUAAGACAACCAAAAUUCUUAGAUUGUGCUCCUAGAUCAUCUAUCAACAUGGUGUGGAAGGUGAGGUGGCCAACGAAAUGAUCUCCAUCCAUGGUAGUGUCAUUUGUCCACCGUCCUCAAAGGCAUUUAUCCAUCGUCCUCAAAGGCAUUUAUCCAAUGUGUGUAAACAUAGUUGGCGAUCCUCCAUUUGACUUUAAAAAAUGUUAUUUUUGAAGUGAGUCUUUCACUACUUCUCAAGUCACAAACAAAGACUCAUAUUGUUCAUACGUAAAAGAUUUAAUCACAAUAUAUCUUCUUCUUUCCUUGCAUUAUUUGCAAAUUCACUUGUUUUCUAAACUUGUUAUAUCUUAAGUUUGCUACUAUUGAAACUCUCAAAACUUA